rnacentral:tRNA from 1 species
GCUCAGGUGGUGAAAUAGGCAGACACGCUAGAUUGAGGUUCUAGUGCUGGAAACAGCUUACGGGUUCAAGUCCCGUUCUGAGCACCA